CCCUUCGGGGUUAGUGGCGCACGGGUGCGUAACGCGUGGGAAUCUGCCCUUUGCUUCGGAAUAACAGUCAGAAAUGACUGCUAAUACCGGAUGAUGUCUUCGGACCAAAGAUUUAUCGGCAAAGGAUGAGCCCGCGUAGGAUUAGGUAGUUGGUGGGGUAAAGGCCUACCAAGCCGACGAUCCUUAGCUGGUCUGAGAGGAUGAUCAGCCACACUGGGACUGAGACACGGCCCAGACUCCUACGGGAGGCAGCAGUGGGGAAUAUUGGACAAUGGGCGAAAGCCUGAUCCAGCAAUGCCGCGUGAGUGAUGAAGGCCUUAGGGUCGUAAAGCUCUUUUACCCGGGAUGAUAAUGACAGUACCGGGAGAAUAAGCCCCGGCUAACUCCGUGCCAGCAGCCGCGGUAAUACGGAGGGGGCUAGCGUUGUUCGGAAUUACUGGGCGUAAAGCGUACGUAGGCGGUUAUUCAAGUCGGAGGUGAAAGCCCGGGGCUCAACCCCGGAACGGCCUUUGAAACUAGGUAGCUAGAGUCUUGGAGAGGUCAGUGGAAUUCCGAGUGUAGAGGUGAAAUUCGUAGAUAUUCGGAAGAACACCAGUGGCGAAGGCGACUGACUGGACCAAGUACUGACGCUGAGG
rnacentral:rRNA from 1 species